rnacentral:tRNA from 1 species
GGGCGGAUAGCUCAACGGGAGAGCUUCGCGUUUACACCGCGACGGUUGCAGGUUCGAAUCCUGUUCCGCCCA